UCUCCUCGAAACGCCCAACCCUUUCAUUUCGUAUUCUUCUCCGCGCUUCCUCACUCAUUCUCUCUAUAUCUUUUCCAGCUUCCACCAUUUCCAAGAGAAAACCAUUCUCAACCUCAUCAGACAAAGAACCAUGGCGGAGGAAAUCACUAGAGAUACAGAACCACCUCAUUCUCAACUCACAUCAGACAAAGGAAAGAAGAAGAUGGCUCUUAAGCAAGAAGCCAUUGUUGAACGAGGAAUGGAAGAAGAACAAAUUGAACAAGUAAAUAUGACCCAGAGUUCUGACAGCAAGAGAUCUAAGUUUGCUAGGAUAUGGAGUGUGCAAGAGGAGCUUGAUUUACUCAAUGUUUGUGAGCGAUAUAAGAGAAAGAAAGCUCCUGAAUUCAAAUUGCAUGGUAAGCAUAGUUUGGAUUCUUUACUUGACUACAUGAAGAAGAAGUCACCUCAUUUGAGUGAUAAGUAUGAAAAGCAACAAAUCUUUCAUAAAUUGAGAAAUAUGAGGAGAAAAUAUCUGAAGAAAAUUUUGGGUGAAGGCCCUUCCAGAAAUGAUCCUUUUGAGCUUGAGUUGUAUGAGCUCUCUCGGAAAAUUUGGUAUAAAGAGAAAGAGAAUGAGAAAGAGAAUAAGAAAGAGAAUGAGAAAGAGAAAGAGAAUGACAAUGAGAAUGAGAAGAGGUUUCCUUGUUUAACAAGGGCUGUAGAACAGUGUAGCAGUGGUUUUCCAUAUGUGUUUCAGGGGAGCAAAAUGGUGGACAUGAUUGACCCAUUGAAGGCAGAAAAGCUGGAGAAGGAGUGGGCAAAGUUUCAGAACUAUGCUUUAUCUCAUUGGACUCUUCUGAUGAGGAAGACAUUGGAUUUACUCAUUGAAACUGCAAAGAAAUCAGAUCGAAAGAAACGGAGCAUACUGAUGUGAUCCGAAGCUUAUUAUUCAUCAUUUUUGCACCAUGGUGUAUUGAGGUUUCACAUGUUCUAGUGGGAAGAAAAGGAGAAGAUUAAGGUGGCAUGAACCUUAAAUUUCAUUAUUAAUGGCAUCCGUGAAUUCUCCAAUUUCUGCUCAUAUUUUGUGUCUGGGUACUACUGUUAACAGCUCAUGCUUUUUCAUGCUUUAAACAUACAGUCAGUUUAAUCUUAAGUUUUUUUUUUGUUGGAAAAAGAGUACAAUCUCAAACUUAAU